AUUGAACGCUGGCGGCAGGCUUAACACAUGCAAGUCGAGCGGAGCGAGGGUGCUUGCACCUUAGCUUAGCGGCGGACGGGUGAGUAAUGCUUAGGAAUCUGCCUAUUAGUGGGGGACAACAUUCCGAAAGGAAUGCUAAUACCGCAUACGCCCUACGGGGGAAAGCAGGGGAUCUUCGGACCUUGCGCUAAUAGAUGAGCCUAAGUCGGAUUAGCUAGUUGGUGGGGUAAAGGCCUACCAAGGCGACGAUCUGUAGCGGGCCUGAGAGGAUGAUCCGCCACACUGGGACUGAGACACGGCCCAGACUCCUACGGGAGGCAGCAGUGGGGAAUAUUGGACAAUGGGCGGAAGCCUGAUCCAGCCAUGCCGCGUGUGUGAAGAAGGCCUUUUGGUUGUAAAGCACUUUAAGCGAGGAGGAGGCUACUAGUAUUAAUACUACUGGAUAGUGGACGUUACUCGCAGAAUAAGCACCGGCUAACUCUGUGCCAGCAGCCGCCGUAA
rnacentral:rRNA from 1 species